CCUACGGGAGGCUGCAGUGAGGAAUAUUGGGCAAUGGACGCAAGUCUGAACGAGCCAUGCCGCGUGCAGGAAGACGGCUCUAUGAGUUGUAAACUGCUUUUUUACGAGGGUAAACGCAGAUACGCGUAUCUGUCUGAAAGUAUCGUACGAUUAAGGAUCGGCUAACUCCGUGCCCGCAGCCGCGGUAAGACGGAGGAUUCAAGCGUUAUCCGGAUUUGUUGGGUUUAAAGGGUGCGUAGGCGGUCGGAUCAGUUAGAGGUGAAAUCCCGAGGCUCAAAUUCGGAAUUGCGUCUGAUACUGUUCGGCUAGAGAGUAGUUGCGGUAGGCGGAAUGUAUGGUGUAGCGGUGAAAUGCUUAGAGAUCAUACAGAACACCGAUUGCGAAGGCAGCUUACCAAGCUACUUCUGACGUUGAGGCACGAAAGCGUGGGGAGCAAACAGGAUUAGAUACCCCUGUAGUC
rnacentral:rRNA from 1 species